rnacentral:rRNA from 1 species
UACGUAGGGGGCAAGCGUUAUCCGGAUUUACUGGGUGUAAAGGGAGCGUAGACGGUGAUGCAAGUCUGAUGUGAAAACCCGGGGCUCAACCGCGGGAUUGCAUUGGAAACUGUGUGACUCGAGUACUGGGGGGGCAGGCGGAAUUCCUGGUGUAGCGGUGAAAUGCGUAGGUAUCAGGAGGAACACCGGCGGCGAAGGCGGCCUGCUGGACAGUAACUGACGUUGAGGCUCGAAAGCGUGGGGAGCAAAC